rnacentral:rRNA from 1 species
AGAGUUUGAUUCUGGCUCAGAACGAACGCUGGCGGCGUGGAUAAGACAUGCAAGUCGAACGAGAGAAUUGCUAGCUUGCUAAUAAUUCUCUAGUGGCGCACGGGUGAGUAACACGUGAGUAACCUGCCCCCGAGAGCGGGAUAGCCCUGGGAAACUGGGAUUAAUACCGCAUAGUAUCGCAAGAUUAAAGCAGCAAUGCGCUUGGGGAUGGGCUCGCGGCCUAUUAGUUAGUUGGUGAGGUAACGGCUCACCAAGGCGAUGACGGGUAGCCGGUCUGAGAGGAUGUCCGGCCACACUGGAACUGAGACACGGUCCAGACACCUACGGGUGGCAGCAGUCGAGAAUCAUUCACAAUGGGGGAAACCCUGAUGGUGCGACGCCGCGUGGGGGAAUGAAGGUCUUCGGAUUGUAAACCCCUGUCAUGUGGGAGCAAAUUAAAAAGAUAGUACCACAAGAGGAAGAGACGGCUAACUCUGUGCCAGCAGCCGCGGUAAUACAGAGGUCUCAAGCGUUGUUCGGAAUCACUGGGCGUAAAGCGUGCGUAGGCUGUUUCGUAAGUCGUGUGUGAAAGGCGCGGGCUCAACCCGCGGACGGCACAUGAUACUGCGAGACUAGAGUAAUGGAGGGGGAACCGGAAUUCUCGGUGUAGCAGUGAAAUGCGUAGAUAUCGAGAGGAACACUCGUGGCGAAGGCGGGUUCCUGGACAUUAACUGACGCUGAGGCACGAAGGCCAGGGGAGCGAAAGGGAUUAGAUACCCCUGUAGUCCUGGCAGUAAACGGUGCACGCUUGGUGUGCGGGGAAUCGACCCCCUGCGUGCCGGAGCUAACGCGUUAAGCGUGCCGCCUGGGGAGUACGGUCGCAAGAUUAAAACUCAAAGAAAUUGACGGGGACCCGCACAAGCGGUGGAGUAUGUGGCUUAAUUCGAUGCAACGCGAAGAACCUUACCUGGGCUUGACA